rnacentral:rRNA from 1 species
GGACAACCUGCCCUCGGGUGGGGGAUAACCCCGGGAAACUGGGGCUAAUCCCCCAUAGGGGAUGGGUACUGGAAUGUCCCAUCUCCGAAAGCGCUUAGCGCCCGAGGAUGGGUCUGCGGCGGAUUAGGUUGUUGGUGGGGUAACGGCCCACCAAGCCGAAGAUCCGUACGGGCCAUGAGAGUGGGAGCCCGGAGAUGGACCCUGAGACACGGGUCCAGGCCCUACGGGGCGCAGCAGGCGCGAAACCUCCGCAAUGCGGGAAACCGCGACGGGGUCAGCCGGAGUGCUCGCGCAUCGCGCGGGCUGUCGGGGUGCCUAAAAAGCACCCCAUAGCAAGGGCCGGGCAAGGCCGGUGGCAGCCGCCGCGGUAAUACCGGCGGCCCGAGUGGCGGCCACUUUUAUUGGGCCUAAAGCGUCCGUAGCCGGGCUGGUAAGUCCUCCGGGAAAUCUGGUCGCUUAACGAUCAGACUGCCGGAGGAUACUGCCAGCCUAGGGACCGGGAGAGGCCGGGGGUAUUCCCGGGGUAGGGGUGAAAUCCUGUAAUCCCGGGAGGACCACCUGUGGCGAAGGCGCCCGGCUGGAACGGGUCCGAUGGUGAGGGACGAAGGCCAGGGGAGCGAACCGGAUUAGAUACCCGGGUAGUCCUGGCUGUAAACGAUGCGGACUAGGUGUCACCGAAGCUACGAGCUUCGGUGGUGCCGGAGGGAAGCCGUUA